rnacentral:rRNA from 1 species
CCCUUAGAUGUUCUGGGCCGCACGCGCGCUACAAUGAUGAAUUCAACGAGUUUAUAACCUUGGUUGAAAAGCCUGGGUAAUCUUUUGAACUUUCGUCGUGAUGGGGCUAGACCCUUGCAAUUAUUGGUCUCCAACGAGGAAUUCCUAGUAAACGCAAGUCAUCAGCUUGCAUUGAUUACGUCCCUGCCCUUUGUACACACCGCCCGUCGCUCCUACCGAUUGAGUGGUCCGGUGAGGCUUUGGGAUCUGAGCGGAAAGAGCGUUUCGCUGUUUCUGCCCGGAAAACUCAGUCGAACCUUAUCAUUUAGAGGAAGGAGAAGUCGUAACA